rnacentral:rRNA from 1 species
UAGGGAAUCUUCCACAAUGGACGCAAGUCUGAUGGAGCAACGCCGCGUGAGUGAAGAAGGUUUUCGGAUCGUAAAGCUCUGUUGUUGGUGAAGAAGGAUAGAGGCAGUAACUGGUCUUUAUUUGACGGUAAUCAACCAGAAAGUCACGGCUAACUACGUGCCAGCAGCCGCGGUAAUACGUAGGUGGCAAGCGUUGUCCGGAUUUAUUGGGCGUAAAGCGAGCGCAGGCGGAAUGAUAAGUCUGAUGUGAAAGCCCACGGCUCAACCUUGGAACUGCAUCGGAAACUGUCAUUCUUGAGUGCAGAAGAGGAGAGUGGAAUUCCAUGUGUAGCGGUGGAAUGCGUAGAUAUAUGGAAGAACACCAGUGGCGAAGGCGGCUCUCUGGUCUGCAACUGACGCUGAGGCUCGAAAGCAUGGGUAGCGAACAGG